rnacentral:rRNA from 1 species
AUGAGGUUGCCGAGAGUGGUGACGGAGAUCGGAGCGGAAGAGGAGGAAGCGCCGCCGCAGACCCUCACACAGGGCACCGGCGAUGCAGCUGUCGAGGUCGCCAACCCGGAGUUCCUUAGCUGGUACCAGAAGGACCAGCUCGACAUGAUCGCGCUCCUCGGCUCCAUGACCGAGGACAUCCUUGGGCAAAUGACCCAACUCACCACUUCCGCUCAGGUCUGGACUACCUUGCAUGAUUUGUUUGCCUCACAGAAUCGUGCACGCAUCAUGCAGCUGCGUUAUCAACUCUCCAAUCUGAAGAAAAAUGACCUCACUGCCUCGGAGUACUACCGCAAGAUGCGGGGCUUUGCUGACGCCAUGGCCUCCAUCGGCAAGCCACUCCAAGACGACGAGGUGCUCGGCUACAUACUCGCCGGACUGGGUCCCGAGUUCGAGCCUCUGGUCGCGUCGAUUACGACGCGUGACGACCCCAUCAGCCUCAGCAGCUUCUACGCCUUCUUCCUCGGCGCUGAGCUUCGCCUCGAGCAACAAGCUUCGUCCGACAACAUCCACCCAUCCGCCAACGCUGCUGCACGCAACUCUGAUGGUCACCGCGGCGGCCGCGACCGCGGCAAUGGCCGGAGUAACCUGAAGUGUCAGGUCUGCUCCAAAUUCGGCCACGACGCUCUCCACUGCCGCAACCGCUUCAACCACGCCUUCCAGCCGGAGGAGCAGCAGCCGGCUCUAAUGGAUGAUCGCAUGCGCAAUUAUGACACGACUUUGCUAUCUGAUGCUACGUGCAGUUCGUCUUUGUCUCCUGCAGGUGCUGCUGGAUUGGCCUCCAGCGACUCUACGUCGGCAUGCACGCCAGGUCACUCCCAUGUAGAUGGGAUUUCUCAGCAGCCGCAUGAGCCCACGUCUCCAUCGACUCCCACUGGGCCGGAUGCCCCGGUCUCGCCCGUGUCACCGGCUGGCCCUUCCGCUGCUAACGGGGCGGGCAGUGCGGCGAGCGACUCCGCAUCCAGCUCGGCACGUGGGCCGCUAUUCGUCGACCCGCCGUCUCCAUCGACCGCCCAGGCCGUCCCCGACGUCGCGCCCGCGAGUGCGCCACAUCCGAUGACGACCAGGCUCAAGGACAACAUCGUCAAAAAGCUGGUGCCAAGCGACGGCACUUCAUUCAUGAUGCACGGCAACAUGUCUCAACCUGCUUGCAAGAGAAAAAUUCCUGAACAAUACCCAUUUUCGCAGCUGAGCCUGUCGAUAUGCCUCCCCUCCGUCUGCCGCUUUGGAAGCCGGUUGAUGUGUUGGGAUUCCCGAGACACGUGCACGAAGACUUGUCGGCUGUUGUUGACAAUGUCAGGCCAAUUCCGGUAUGGGAGCCACAACAGUGACACGCCGGCGACUUGCUUUGGAGCCUACACGAUUUCACUUACCCAUGGCAUGCGCGGUUCCGUUCCAUCAUUUUCCAACAUCCCGGUAAACAUGAGGUCCACACCAACAUACGUACUAGUUAGGAUUGUGAGGUAUUGGGAAUGUGCCCUCUACAGUGUCAAACUCUCCGGCAGACUGUUAUCUUCAUUUGCUCACACCAGUUGUGAGUCACAUGGACCGGUACAGUAA